GAUGAACGCUGGCGGCGUGCCUAAUACAUGCAAGUCGAGCGAACGGACGAGAAGCUUGCUUCUCUGAUGUUAGCGGCGGACGGGUGAGUAACACGUGGAUAACCUACCUAUAAGACUGGGAUAACUUCGGGAAACCGGAGCUAAUACCGGAUAAUAUUUUGAACCGCAUGGUUCAAUAGUGAAAGACGGUCUUGCUGUCACUUAUAGAUGGAUCCGCGCUGCAUUAGCUAGUUGGUAAGGUAACGGCUUACCAAGGCAACGAUGCAUAGCCGACCUGAGAGGGUGAUCGGCCACACUGGAACUGAGACACGGUCCAGACUCCUACGGGAGGCAGCAGUAGGGAAUCUUCCGCAAUGGGCGAAAGCCUGACGGAGCAACGCCGCGUGAGUGAUGAAGGUCUUCGGAUCGUAAAACUCUGUUAUUAGGGAAGAACAUAUGUGUAAGUAACUGUGCACAUCUUGACGGUACCUAAUCAGAAAGCCGCGGCUAACUACGUG
rnacentral:rRNA from 1 species